ensembl:lncRNA
AUAGAUAAAUCAGAUAUACUAAAAUAACACUGAGAAACAGUGAUAUAUAAAUCUGUAAGACUUCUGGGAUUAUAUUGAAUUAAGUUUAUUAUUAUUAUUAUUAUUAUUAUUAUUAUUAUUAUUAUUAUUAUUUUAUUUUUUUAUUUUUUUGGACCUCAAAACCUUGUUUUAUCCAGUAAUGAGGACUAUAUUUACCUGGAGUAAGAGAAAUAUAUUCUCUAAAGUCCUGAUGCAAUUUUGCUUCUUAAAUGCAUCCUGUUUUAAAGAGGUUUACAUCAUUCCAUUGGAAAACAAGACAUAAAUAUUAAUAAAGGAUCUUGAAUGGACAUGCAUCCUCUAGAUCUCUCCAGUCAAACUUUCUUCGUGGUAAGGUAACGCUAAAAGUCGUGCAGUAAUAAUAGUAUAAGCAUAGCACGUGCAAACAUCGAGCCACAAAGAGCGAAAGAGAACAUGGCGAACGUGGAAACAUUUAAACAAUUUGCCAGGGGCCUUAAUUGUUUUCCGUUUCCCUGACGAUGGCUAGCUGAAAAGAUGGAGAGUUUCAGUGAAUAGAUUAGCGCACGCUCCAGCAGUCAUGACAAAAUCCCUCUUAACCCCGCGAGCCCGCCAUCAGAGCGCCCCGCCGCAGAUAUCACUCGCUCCUCAGUGUUAUUAAACACAACUUUGCAGAUUCAGUCCGCCGCGAGUGCCAUUUAGCCGCGCGGAGCAGGAAGGAAGCGUGUGGGGGAAUUACAGGUUGCCAGCGCGACUGACAGGGGUUGAUUUGGGUGUGCGGUGUGUGCAGGCCUCCCUCAGAGUGUUGUGACAGGCGGUCAUUACAGCACACGUCUCCACACUCAGCUGCACCAGACGCCGCAUGCAAAUGGACACAAAUGGGCUCCACUGUACGCCGGAGCUAAUGACACUUUCUGCUGCUCUUCUUUAAGGUGGAAGCUGAACGCUCGCGGCUGCACACUUCAUAAAUCAGUGAGGCCCAUUAGAGGACGGGCCCUCGGCAGAUCCUUCG